ACGCUCGACACCUACGUGAGGCAGCAGUUGGGAAUAUUGGACAAUGGAGGAAACUCUGAUCCAGUGACGCCGCGUGAAGGAAGAAGGUCUUCGGAUUGUAAACUUAUUUUGUCAGGGAAGAAAAAUGACUGUACCUGAAGAAAAAGCACCGGCUAACUACGUGCUAGCAGCCGCGGUAAUCUGAGGCGGGCGUGGACGAAGGC
rnacentral:rRNA from 1 species